UACAAAAAUUACUGUCUUCCUGCCGGUAAAACAGACGUCAGGCACACGUUUCGGGUUACACGACAUUUUCCCGAAAACUAGAUGAGAAAAUGUUGGUACUAACCAAAUUCUCUAGGCAAUACAGUUUCAAUUUCUACAGGUUAGUAACACUGUUAGAGUAGUAAAUUCAAGGUUUGCAGAGUCGGUUUUGACGUAUGCGUGCGUAUGUGUCAAACAAUAAAUAUUAUAUAAAUGAUUUAUGACAUUUGAUUUAAUAAAUGAAUAAAAAUUACAUAAAUAACUAAAAAUAUAGUGCAUAAAGAUGAACAAGGUGAACAAAUGUUUUAUAGUAUAUUUAUAUAUGAGAAAACAAAUUAUUAUAUUUAUAAUGUAUUAAUGUAUUAUAUAUUAUUAUAUGUAUUAUAUUAUAUUAUAUUGUAUUUAUAUUAUAUUAUACUAUAUUAUAUUAAUUUUCAGUUUCUUUAAUGUGCCUUUAUAAACACCAUGCAUGAUUGAAUUUUCGUUCUUCGCCUUGGAUUCAUUCAGAUUUCAAUGAAAUAAAAUUAAUAGAAACAUAAAGAAAGAAGAUGGAAAGAAAUAAAGGAGAAUAGACAAAUAUAUCAGAUAAGUAGCUAAUAUCUUUAUAGAAUAAAAAAUUGUGUAUCCUAUGUGUUUUUUGUAAUCAUAGAGGAACUAGCUAAUUCAUUUCUUGAAUUAAUUUUUUGUUUCAGCUUCCCAGUCAAUCAUUUGCUUGUAGAAUGUUGACAGCCGGAGAACAAUCUCCUGCAGAGUGAAACUACCAAAUUCUAAGCCUCCUACGUUCUCGAGUGUACCAAAAUUGUAAGCAAAAAAGUUGAAAUCACAUUGUAGCAUUAAGUAAAUUUAUCAUUAACAGUGCAACAACAGAUUGAUACAACAAGCUGAGAGUAGGCUUGUCAAAAUUGUUUGUACUACGAAGCAUAUGUGCUGUUUGUACCAGCAAUGUACUCACAUUGUUUACACUAGAGAUACUGUUGCGUUUAUCAUUAAUAUGUCAUCAACGCUUUCGACAAACCUGCUCAUUGUUCAUUAUCACUUUGUUAUAUGUAUAGUCUGCUGAUCGAUGUAUACCUUUUAUCUUUCAGCAAGCAGAACAUGUGUUAUCCACAUUGGUCUUUGCAAGAAUGGGGAUUUGGAGUAGCAAUGGAAUGCUUGUCAAAGAUUAUUUUGCUAUUUCGUUUUGUUCGUGCCCAAAAUUGUGGAUGCCUCAUGAAGCUCCGAAUACGUUUCUGGUGCUCAGAAAGGUAAACUGUAAAUAAUAUUGCAUUUUAAAAAUAAUUAAUAUGGUAUGGAAAAAAUGUUUGCAAAAUGAGGCAUUUAAUAUACCUAAAAAUUCAACAAUUGUCGUGUGUUUUUUCAGAUUUAACCGAAUUUCUCGGUUGUGUCUCUCAGAAAUAUAAUUAGUCCUGUGUACUUUUUGAAAUACGCAGAAGGAAUCGGGCUUAAAGUUAUUCAGCCACGUUUCUUGAUAAUAAUGAAAAAAGGAUUCCAAAAACGUGCAAUUAUGGAAUAUAAUUGUAGAUAUUAAUUUAAAGCCUUCUUUUAUCAAUGUAUGUGGUAAAUAAGUCAAAGAUAUCAACAGUUUUGUAGCACCCCACCCCACAUCAUCUUUUAGUAUACCAUAUUUUUCAGCAUUAUGCACUAAUGCCUGUGAUAAGAAAUAAACACGAUUAAAAUUGACAUGCAUUUUAUGCUAAUUAAGUGUAAUGUUAUUUUUCCUAAUUACCUGACUGUAAUGAAAUAAACGGCCCAUAAUUUUAGCGCUAGGAAAAACUAUUCGUAAAGCUUUCCUUUCAGCUUUCUCAAAAUCAGAUAUCACUGUAUCAGGUUCUAUUUUUAAAAUAUUUGUAACUUUUUUUAAUACAGCAAUAUAAUUUUUUGCGGUGCGACCUUCCAUUAUGGCGUAGACUAUUGGAAAUGUCUAAAAAAUUUCAAAGCAUUUAUAUUUAAUAAUAUAUUUAUAUAGAAUAUAGAGUGCCCGUUGUGAUUAAAGGAACUAAUUAUUUUAAUAAUGAACUAAAUUGUUUUGCUUACUCUAUUAUUGUGUCUAAUGAUAAUUGUCCACAAUUGGCAAUUAAUAUUUUUUAGCUGGCGAACAGUAGCGAAUGUUCCAUCUACAAAAACUGUUAGUUUAUUGUUUUGCUCAUUUAGAAUUUUAUCUGACAAACUUUUGUCAAUAAAAAUAAUUGCUUUCGUCGUAUUAUCUUCAACAACUAAUUCUACAAUGAAUAAACCUUUUUCUGUUAUAAUCUUUUAAUUAACUCUCACUCUGAUGAUGAUUACUUACUGCUUACUUUGUAUUUGCGUUCGAUUUACUAAUUACUUCAAGUAUAAACUAAUGUUAAAAGUUAAAUAUUGCGGUUUAUUCAUUAUUCCUUAUGCAUUUGUUUGUCGUUAUGAUUUUUUUCUAGUUAGUAUUUUUCCCGAUUGUCAUUUUGCAGUCAAACCAAGAUACUGUGUGUUGACACUGUGUUUAUUAUAUUGCGUGUUGAAAAUUAGAGUAUUUGUCGCGUGCAUUUGUUAAUAUGGCAGAAAAAACAAAAUAUAAUUUUUCGAGAAUACAAGAAACAAAAGUGGAAUAUCAGGGAUAUCAUUUCCAUCUGAAUAAAUCGAACGCAGAUACGAAGUAAGUGGAAAUCAUCAUCAGAGUGAGAGAAUCUUUAAUUAAAAGAUAACAUAGAAAAAUUGAAAGAGUAGCUUGUAAUUUAAUAAUUUUUUAUUUGUAUAUUGUGGCACCAUACUGUGGUACUUCUUUUUUUAAGCUUUAUUUAUUUACUUAUAAGAAAUAAUUGAAUGUUCAUUCUUUAUAUAGUUCUACAAAAAUUGAUAACAUUUUUUUAAUUCUUUUACACAAUCAGUACAGAAGAACAUUAAAUUUUUGCGGUGCGAUCUUCCAUUAGGAAGGUCGCACCGCAAAAAAUUAUAUUGCUGUAUUAAAAAAAGUUACAAAUAUUUUAAAAAUAGAACCUGAUACAGUGAUAUCUGAUUUUGAGAAAGCUGAAAGGAAAGCUUUACGAAUAGUUUUUCCUAGCGCUAAAAUUAUGGGCCGUUUAUUUCAUUACAGUCAGGUAAUUAGGAAAAAUAACAUUACACUUAAUUAGCAUAAAAUGCAUGUCAAUUUUAAUCGUGUUUAUUUCUUAUCACAGGCAUUAGUGCAUAAUGCUGAAAAAUAUGGUAUACUAAAAGAUGAUGUGGGGUGGGGUGCUACAAAACUGUUGAUAUCUUUGACUUAUUUACCACAUACAUUGAUAAAAGAAGGCUUUAAAUUAAUAUCUACAAUUAUAUUCCAUAAUUGCACGUUUUUGGAAUCCUUUUUUCAUUAUUAUCAAGAAACGUGGCUGAAUAACUUUAAGCCCGAUUCCUUCUGCGUAUUUCAAAAAGUACACAGGACUAAUUAUAUUUCUGAGAGACACAACCGAGAAAUUCGGUUAAAUCUGAAAAAACACACGACAAUUGUUGAAUUUUUAGGUAUAUUAAAUGCCUCAUUUUGCAAACAUUUUUUCCAUACCAUAUUAAUUAUUUUUAAAAUGCAAUAUUAUUUACAGUUUACCUUUCUGAGCACCAGAAACGUAUUCGGAGCUUCAUGAGGCAUCCACAAUUUUGGGCACGAACAAAACGAAAUAGCCUAAAAGAAAAAGAAAAUAAAAUAUUAGAAAUUUGGAGUCAAAUUGAAGAUAACAAAGAUUUGGAUCUUUUAUUAAUCUUGUAUAAAUUAUUCGAAUUAGUAGGGAAAUUAUAAGUGUUCGAGACAAUAACAAUUAUUUUAAAGUUUUGACAUUGUCCUUUUAUUUGCUCUGUUUUAUCCGCGAGUAGUGAGGGCUCCUGACAGCCAUCGAGCUUUUGAUAGUUCAUUUCUUCGAUGCACCGAGUCGCGCGGCGCUGUCACUAGCUCCUCACACGCGCGAUUUUCGUUUGCUAUCAGCACCGGUAACUAUGCAUCUCGGUCGCUAUGCAAAUAAACAUGCCCAAAAAAGGGCACGUCCAAAUCCAUGCCCAAAUAAGUCUCGAUAUCGGUUCCCUACCGCCCCUUUUCUCGCCUCCGAUCGUAAUUGUUUUACGAUGCAUAAUUCUUCAGUCUCUCGCAGCCCGGCACCGACAUCAGAUCGUCCAACAGAUCUCUCCCGUCUUCCGCCGAUCCUAGCUGCGAAGAUUCACUUCCGCUCUUCCCUAUCAUUCGCGCCGUGAUAGUGCGAGUGCAUUAUUAAUUAAUCCGCUCCGACCAUGCAAUUCUUAAUUUUAAUAUCCGCGUGAAUGUUGUAAGUGUGUUACGUUCGUGCGCAGGUGACCGUAUCUUUCCCGCGAACGUCCUCUGCCUCGCGCACAAGAUCUCCGUCGGAUCGCGCGCAAGAUUUCCGGAUUUGCGAGGACCUCGAUCUCGAGGCUCUGCAAGAUUUCCGCGUCGAUUAGGCAGCGCAAUAUCAGGGCGUAUCAAGAUAUCCGACACAGUGUAAAAGAUACGGUUCGCCCCUCGCUUCGAGCGUUCGUUUGUGGAAUAAAGAAAUUAAGUGUGAGUGAUAUCUAUGCCUCCUCCUUAUUCCUAUCACCUCCCGUGAACCUCCCGCAUUCCUGACCACUCACUUCGCGUCUCUAUCGGGACGGAUCCCGGCAAUUCUCCCCGUGCGAUCGCGUUUACUCUACGCACGCGCGAACAAUAAGUAAAUAAACAUUUUAAUACUACUACUAUUCUUUUUUUAAUUAUUGUUCCUAGACUUGUAACUUUUUUAUUUAUUAUGGUCUUAAUGGGUUUCCAUUUACGAUAAUUUAUUUUACUUCAAAUAGUGUAAAUUUACUUACAAAAUAAUCUUUGACAAGCAUUCCAUUGCUACUCCAAAUACCCAUUCUUGCAAAGACCAAUGUGGAUAACACAUGUUCUGCUUGCUGAAAGAUAAAAGGUAUACAUCGAUCAGCAGACUAUACAUAUAACAAAGUGACAAUGAACAAUGAGCAGGUUUGUCGAAAGCGUUGAUGACAUAUUAAUGAUAAACGCAACAGUAUCUCUAGUGUAAACAAUGUGAGUACAUUGCUGGUACAAACAGCACAUAUGCUUCGUAGUACAAACAAUUUUGACAAGCCUACUCUCAGCUUGUUGUAUCAAUCUGUUGUUGCACUGUUAAUGAUAAAUUUACUUAAUGCUACAAUGUGAUUUCAACUUUUUUGCUUACAAUUUUGGUACACUCGAGAACGUAGGAGGCUUAGAAUUUGGUAGUUUCACUCUGCAGGAGAUUGUUCUCCGGCUGUCAACAUUCUACAAGCAAAUGAUUGACUGGGAAGCUGAAACAAAAAAUUAAUUCAAGAAAUGAAUUGGCUAGUUCCUCUAUGAUUACAAAAAACACAUAGGAUACACAAUUUUUUAUUCUAUAAAGAUAUUAGCUACUUAUCUGAUAUAUUUGUCUAUUCUCCUUUAUUUCUUUCCAUCUUCUUUCUUUAUGUUUCUAUUAAUUUUAUUUCAUUGAAAUCUGAAUGAUUCCAAGGCGAAGAACGAAAAUUCAAUCAUGCAUGGUGUUUAUAAAGGCACAUUAAAGAAACUGAAAAUUAAUAUAAUAUAGUAUAAUAUAAUAUAAAUACAAUAUAAUAUAAUAUAAUACAUAUAAUAAUAUAUAAUACAUUAAUACAUUAUAAAUAUAAUAAUUUGUUUUCUCAUAUAUAAAUAUACUAUAAAACAUUUGUUCACCUUGUUCAUCUUUAUGCACUAUAUUUUUAGUUAUUUAUAUAAUUUUUAUUCAUUUAUUAAAUCAAAUGUCAUAAAUCAUUUAUAUAAUAUUUAUUGUUUGACACAUACGCGCGCAUACGUCAAAACCGACUCUGCAAACCUUGAAUUUACUACUCUAACAGUGUUACUAACCUGUAGAAAUUGAAACGGUAUUGCCUAGAGAAUUUGGUUAGUACCAACAUUUUCUCAUCUAGUUUUCGGGAAAAUGUCGUGUAACCACGUUUCCAGCAUCCCCUUAAAUUUACAUUAUAAAAAGGCUACUUUAUAUGAAUAAUUAUUUGUUCUAAUGUUGUUUAGUAGUUGUCGUUUGUUUUAUACUUAUAUUGGUUGGCAUCCAAUUAUGGCCAGAUUUUAUUGAUAUUAUUCUAACUACAAAUGAGUCUCGAUCACGCCGCCUGCAAAGCUUAACUGAACACUUUAUUGAUCAAGAAAGAUAUUACUAUAUACAGCAAUUCCAUAUAAAUGCAACUUUAUGCAUAGGAUUCACCGCAUCGAUAUCAACAGGAUCAAUGCUUUUGACAUGUGGUCAACAUGCAUGUGGAAUGUUUAAAAUUGCUAGUUAUCGUAUCAAGAAGGCAAUAGUAAUUUACAUUCAAAGUAUUAAUUUUAAAAACAAAAAAUUGGUUUAUAACAAUUUUAUUUACGGUGUACAUAUUCAUCGAAAGGCAAUAAUGUAAGUAUUUACAUUCUCUAAUACAAUGUCUCUAUAUAUAUUAUAUAUGUAAUAACAAUUUAUUUUUUGAAGGUUUUCCGAAUAUAUAAUAUCUAACUUUGAGAUGUCAUUUAUGUUUUUAAUAAUACUUGGUGUAUUUAGUUUAAGUCUUAAUAUUUUCCAAGUAAGUUUUAUUUAUAAGUCCAUAUUUAAUAAAUAUGUGUCACAUGUUUAUGGUGUUUUAUAUGUGUUUAAUAAUCUUUAUAUUUUGAAUAAUUUUGACAACUUAGAUUAAAAAUUUUUGUGACAUUUAUAAAAGAAAAAUUUUAAUGUUAAUUUUGUAAUUUUAUUAGUGACUAAUUUGGUCUGGUCUACGGCGCAAGGUACCUUUUUUGUGGGCCUGUGUUAUUAUUAUAGAUACUACGUUGCUUAAAAAAGAAAUUUCUA
rnacentral:lncRNA from 1 species